rnacentral:rRNA from 1 species
GACGAACCGUGCAAACGUUGUUCGGAAUCACUGGGCUUAAAGGGCGCGUAGGCGGUCGACCAAGUCCGGGGUGAAAUCUUUCGGCUUAACCGGAAAAGUGCCUUGGAUACUGGCCGGCUGGAGGGAGGUAGGGGCAGGUGGAACUUCCAGUGGAGCGGUGAAAUGCGUUGAUAUUGGAAGGAACGCCGGUGGUGAAAGCGACCUGCUGGACCUCUUCUGACGCUGAGGCGCGAAAGCUAGGGGAGCAAACGGG